rnacentral:rRNA from 1 species
CGUCUAUAUACGUAUAGCAUAUCAAUAAGCGGAGGAAAAGAAACUAACUAGGAUUCCCUCAGUAACGGCGAGUGAAGCGGGAAGAGCUCAAAUUUGAAAUCUUCAAGGUUUUACCUUGACGAAUUGUAGUUUAAAGAAGUGUUUUCUGUUGGAGUUUUGGUAAAAGUUCUUUGGAAUAGGACAUCAUAGGAGGGUGAGAAUCCCGUAUUUGACCAUUAUUUCCAGCUUUGUGAUACACUUUCAAAGAGUCGGAUUGUUUGGGAAUGCAGUCCAAAAUGGGUGGUAAAUUUCAUCUAAAGCUAAAUACUGGCGAGAGACCGAUAGCGAACAAGUACCGUGAGGGAAAGAUGAAAAGAACUUUGAAAAGAGAGUUAAACAGUACGUGAAAUUGUCAAAAGGGAAGCGUUUGACACCAGUGUUGUUUUCUCGAAAAUCAAUUAAAAAAGACCUGGAUUUUGUGUUGUAUUGACUUUAUCAGCUUUCUGCACUCUUUUCUUGUCUUUUUUAAUUGCACUUUUCGUUUAACAAGUCAACAUCAAUUUCUUUUGUUGUAAAAGGGUCAUUGGAAGGUGGCUUUCUUUUCGGAGAAAGUGUUUAUAGCCUUUGGCCUCUGCAAUCGGAGAGAUUGAGGUCUGCAGCGUAGAUCCUUCGGGGUUAGAUACAUUUGUGCUAAGUUAUAGCCUUUCAUAGACAACUUGUUGACUAUGAUCAGUCAUGUAGCUUACUCGCUUAUGCUAUUUUACCUACGCUUAGGAUGUUGAAGUCAUCGUAUCGCGC